rnacentral:rRNA from 1 species
GACGAACGCUGGCGGCGUGCUUAACACAUGCAAGUCGAACGGAAAGGCCCUGCUUUUGUGGGGUGCUCGAGUGGCGAACGGGUGAGUAACACGUGAGUAACCUGCCCUUGACUUUGGGAUAACUUCAGGAAACUGGGGCUAAUACCGGAUAGGAGCUCCUGCUGCAUGGUGGGGGUUGGAAAGUUUCGGCGGUUGGGGAUGGACUCGCGGCUUAUCAGCUUGUUGGUGGGGUAGUGGCUUACCAAGGCUUUGACGGGUAGCCGGCCUGAGAGUGUGACCGGCCACAUUGGGACUGAGAUACGGCCCAGACUCCUACGGGAGGCAGCAGUGGGGAAUAUUGCACAAUGGACGGAAGCCUGAUGCAGCAACGCCGCGUUCGGGAUGACGGCCUUCGGGUUGUAAACCGCUUUCGCCUGUGACGAAGCGUGAGUGACGGUAAUGGGUAAAGAAGCACCGGCUAACUACGUG